rnacentral:rRNA from 1 species
GACGAACGCUGGCGGCGUGCUUAACACAUGCAAGUCGAACGGAAAGGCCCUUUCGGGGGUACUCGAGUGGCGAACGGGUGAGUAACACGUGGGUGAUCUGCCCUGCACUUCGGGAUAAGCUUGGGAAACUGGGUCUAAUACCGGAUAUGAUCGCGCUCUUCAUGGGGUGUGGUGGAAAGCUUUUGCGGUGUGGGAUGGGCCCGCGGCCUAUCAGCUUGUUGGUGGGGUAAUGGCCUACCAAGGCGACGACGGGUAGCCGGCCUGAGAGGGUGUCCGGCCACACUGGGACUGAGAUACGGCCCAGACUCCUACGGGAGGCAGCAGUGGGGAAUAUUGCACAAUGGGCGCAAGCCUGAUGCAGCGACGCCGCGUGAGGGACGACGGCCUUCGGGUUGUAAACCUCUUUCAGCACAGACGAAGCGCAAGUGACGGUAUGUGCAGAAGAAGCACCGGCCAACUACGUGCCAGCAGCCGCCGUAAG